UACGAGGGGGGCAAGCGUUGUUCGGAUUUAUUGGGCGUAAAGGGUGCGUAGGCGGUUUGGCAAGUCUGAUGUGAAAUCUAUGGGCUCAACCCAUAGUCUGCAUCAGAAACUGCCGGGCUUGAGUAUGGGAGAGGUGAGUGGAAUUUCCGGUGUAGCGGUGAAAUGCGCAGAUAUCAGGAAGAACACCCGUGGCGAAGGCGGCUUUCUGGGACGGUACUGACGCUGAGACGCGAAAGCGUGGGGAGCGAACAGG
rnacentral:rRNA from 1 species